rnacentral:lncRNA from 1 species
CAAGCACCGACAACUCCUUUUGGCUGGGCCUUGCCUCUUUUGGCCACAGACCUUCUAUAUGACCCCAGGUGCAUCAGUCACAGUUGCUCAGAACCCUGCUCAGUGAUAAACAUCUUACUAAAGCUGGGUCAAUCAGGGUCACUCUCUGGAAUGUUAAACAUGAAGCCUGAGACAAGAUCUCUCUUUUAUCUGGGGUCCCCAAAGGCAAUGCUGUACACUUGGAGCUGCCUGCUGCCCUGCAACUACUCCCAUUUACCAAUUAUCUGGAAGAACCAGUCUACAAUAGAAGACAACGAGGCCAACACACAAAAACACAGUAAAAGUAUGGACAAAUUAGUGGGAUCCCUGAAAUCUAUUCCAACUAUGUGCUUCCAAGUCACAUGACUCAAUAAAUGCUUCAGCUGGUUGAGUUGUGCUUGGCGUUCACUACCAGGAGAGUUCUGAUUAAUAAAAACUCAUUCCAUCAAUUAAUAAUUUAGUAGCUCUCUUUCAACCUGAGCCAAAUUCAAGCAUAAGCUAAAGGAUAAGCAGUGACCCAUGGCCAAUUUCCUAUGUCAUACACUUGCCAUUAGUGACGUAAGUUAAGCCAUUCUUCAAAACAUUAAACAGCCUUCAAGAACA